rnacentral:rRNA from 1 species
AUGCAAAGAUUUGAUAUAUCUGCGCGGAUUAACCUUGUCUUUUGCACGACCAUCGCCGUGGGGAAUCCCCACCUCGCCCGGAGGCUCGGAGGCUGCACACGGGUUGCAGGCCCAACGCCGGCUACAACCGGCAUUUCCGACGUCAGCGUCGGCUUCAUCAUCAACAGCAAGACCCUCCGCCCAACUUUUCCAAGUUGCGCGGAGGCUCGGAGGCUACACCCAGUGGGUGCACUCGCGCGCCCCCACUCAGCCGGGGGACUCUGUGUCCACGCCCGGCACCCACGACGUCAACAUCGGCUUCAUCAUCAACAACGAAGACCCUCCGCCCAACUUUUCCAAGUUUCCCGAAGGCUAGGAGGCUACCCAGUGGGUGCGCUCCCGCGCCCCCACUCAGCCGGCGGACUCCGUGUCCGCGCCCGGCACCCUCGACGUCACCAUCGGCUUCAUCAUCAACAGCAAGACCCUCCGCACAACUUUUCCAAAGUUGCUCGAAGGUACACCCAGUGGGCGCGCUCGCGCUCCCCCACUCAGCCGGCGGACUCCGUGUCCGCGCCCGGCACCCUCGACGUCACCAUCGGCUUCUACAUCGACACCCGCUAA